UCCAAUGUAAAAUAUCAUAAAGGUGUCGACUUUUGAAAGUCAAACUAUAGAAGCCUAAUUUCUCAAGAUUGGUAUUUAGGCAGUGUGUUAUAUACCCCACUGCUCCAAUGACUACAGAUACUUGUAAUCUGGAUAGAGUAACUGCAGAUUUCUCAAUAGUUCAGCGCCCAACUUGGCAAUAACCUGCAGAUGGUGCGUAGUGUCUGCUUCACCAGUAGGGUUAGCAGAUGACGUUGAUACGGGACCAGUGUGAUCGAUUAAGAAUGACGUCACCAUAUUAUCGGGCAUGCGUACUGCGAUGCUGUCAGGUCUACCAAUGUAUUUGCCGGCAUAUCCAACACCCAAGCUGUCUAACCAUGGUCCUGGAGAAGAAAUAAAAGAAUAAUAUUGAUAA